rnacentral:sRNA from 1 species
AUUGUCCGGGAUCGCCCCCCGUCAGCGAGUGUUCGCCCACGGGGGCAUUUGUC